rnacentral:rRNA from 1 species
UACAGAGGGGGCAAGCGUUGUUCGGAAUUACUGGGCGUAAAGGGCGCGUAGGCGGCCUGUUAAGUCGAACGUGAAAUCCCCGGGCUCAACCCGGGAACUGCGUCCGAUACUGGCAGGCUUGAGUUUGGGAGAGGGACGCGGAAUUCCAGGUGUAGCGGUGAAAUGCGUAGAUAUCUGGAGGAACACCGGUGGCGAAGGCGGCGUCCUGGACCAACACUGACACUGAGGAGCGAAAGCCAGGGGAGCAAACGGG